rnacentral:tRNA from 1 species
UCCUGGUGGCUCAGAUGGUAAAGAAUCUGCCUGCAAUGCAGAAGACCCGGGUUCGAUCCCUGGGUUAGGAA